rnacentral:rRNA from 1 species
UACGUAGGGGGCAAGCGUUGUCCGGAAUAAUUGGGCGUAAAGGGCGCGUAGGCGGCAAGGCAAGUCAGCAGUGGAAGUCCCAUUUUCAAGGUGGGGAGGGCUGUUGAAACUGCGUUGCUUGAGUGCAGGAGAGGUUAUCGGAAUUCCCGGUGUAUCGGUGAAAUGCGUAGAGAUCGGGAGGAACACCAGUGGCGAAGGCGGGUAACUGGACUGCAACUGACGCUGAGGCGCGAAAGUGUGGGGAGCAAACAGGAUUAGAUACCCUGGUAGUCCCU